UUCGGUUGUCCCCCUCCCACGCGCACACCCCUAGCUGCUAAUUCAGCUGCCAAAGCUUCCUUUGCAGCUUGUUCCUGUAAAAGAAAUCAGCAGACAGUUACACCCUCCGCUGAGAAACUGAGAACCACCUCAUAGGAUAGCUCUUCUCAAAUAUAUUACUGGGAAGCUUCUGGAUCAUAUAUGAACGGCAUGGCGCAAGUGGACAGAAAACAGCUAAAUUGCAAACUGUGGCAGUAAAUACAUUGAGAAACACCAAAUCCCAUUCUUGUUGGAACCUAACACCCAAGAAGUAUGUAGGAUUGGAUAAGAUGGGUGCCAGAAAUUCAGGUUUUGAACAAUAAGAAAACACAGCAUACUCUCCUUACGAUUUUUCAUCUCCCACCAAACAGAUGAACUAAUGGUAGCUAGCAAUUCAAAGGUCAUCUUAUGCAGGAAAGAUGGAUCAGCAAGCAUUCUGCAAUUUAGAGAACGGAAGGCAAUUUUUAAUUUGCAAAAAUCACAAGGGACAUUCUUACAUUACACGUAAUCAGGGUGCACACUGAUGCUAUUUUAUCAGUGAAGUAAUA
rnacentral:lncRNA from 1 species